GGGUCAACUGUUGUUGGGAAAACUUCAAGUGAACAAGGUAUUCCAAGUUCGAAUUUUUAAGUUUUCACAUGAAGAGGUGACGUGGAGCUACUACUCUUAACGUUCAUAUUGAUUUGAUUGGAGUUGUGGAAUUGAUGAUAUGUUCAUUUUCCUACCUCUUCUUCAUGACUGUCCAUAGUCGGAAAGCACAAAUUUCCAGGUUUCUGAAAGGUAACAUACCCUGGUUGGCUCUGCUUAAUUACUUAAUAAUAAUGCACAGAAGAAGAAGCAAAUUACUAGCUAGCUCACCCUCACAACAACAUAAUCUGUACGUUGUAACUGAAACUGAGGACUUCUUGCAGUUCUGAUGAUUAUCAAGAAGGGGCUUGAAGUAAUUGUCUGCCUCACUUUCAGAUUUUGUAGGUUGUAGCUUUCCUAAUAUAUACUGAAAAGUUCUCCUUUGGUCCAUCAAUUA
rnacentral:lncRNA from 1 species